rnacentral:rRNA from 1 species
ACUCCGUGAAGCUGGAUUCGCUAGUAAUCGCGCAUCAGCCAUGGCGCGGUGAAUACGUUCCCGGGCCUUGUACACACCGCCCGUCAAGCCAUGGGAGCCGGGAGCGCUUGAAGUGCGUCGCCGCGAGGCGCGCCCUAGAGCGAGACCGGUGACUGGGGCUAAGUCGUAACAAGGUAAC